CCUUCGAUAGCUCAGUUGGUAGAGCGCAAGACUGUAAUGGAAGCUUAAUCUUGAUGUCACCUGUUCGACCCAGGUUCGAAGGA